ensembl:lncRNA
ACAAUUAUAUACUAACUUAGGUAAUAAAGAAAAAGUCUUUAACAAAUAGAUUUUGUAUCAACAAAACUCAUCUUCUUGUUGCUUUUACUAAUAAUAGGGUUGUUCUUGUUGACUGUUCACUUCUUACAGCUCACAGCCCCAAGCAGCCAUGAAACUUCCUGUCUUAAGGUGGCAGUAUAUAUUUGCUCAGAUUGUUGCGCUGAACCAGUAGUGAAUUUGUGGAGGUGGCUGAAACAGUGAAGAUUUUAAUAAUAAGCUGAGGAUGUUGUAGGACUCCACCCGUUAAGUGAUGGUUUGCUUUUAAGAAAUCUAUUCAUAAAAGAGAAAAUAUCAGCAAACCUGGGAAUAUCUUUAGUCAAGAAUCAUGAUCCUUUUAUUCCUAAGCAUCUUUUUUAACUGUCUACUGGCUUCAGCAGGUUCUCCUGCCAAUGAUCAGGUCGACCAGACUCCAGCCAACAUUUACACAAAAGGAGAAGAUGCUAAAAUCCACUGCUCACACAGUAUUCAAAGCUAUGAAACAAUCCUCUGGUACAAGCAGUCAGAGAAACAACUACAACUGCUUGGAUACAUGAAUUACGAUAAGAGUUAUCCAGAGGCUGGAGUGAACGUAACGAUGGAUGGGGGUGCUGAAAAAAAUCAGAACUGCAUAUUAACGAUUAAGGAUAUCAAAGCGAGCUGCAGUGGAGUUUACUUCUGUGCAUCUAGGUACCACAG